rnacentral:misc_RNA from 1 species
GAUGAAGAACGUAGCGAAAUGCGAUAAGUAGUGUGAAUUGUAGAAUUCAGUGAAUCAUCGAAUCUUUGAACGCACAUUGCGCCCCUUGGUAUCCCGAGGGGCAUGCCUGUUCGAGCGUCAUUUCACCACUCAAGCCUGGCUUGGUGUUGGGCGACGUCCUCUUUGGGGACGCGCCUCGAAACGCUCGGCGGCGUGGCACCGGCUUUAAGCGUAGCAGAAUCUUUCGCUUUGGAAGUCGGGGCCCCGUCUGCCGGAAGACCUGCUCGCAAGGUUGACCUCGGAUCAGGCAGGGAUACCCGCUGAACUUAAGCAUAUCAAUAAGCGGAGGA